UACGUAGGGUGCGAGCGUUGUCCGGAUUUAUUGGGCGUAAAGGGCUCGUAGGCGGCGUGUCGCGUCGGGAGUGAAAGACCGGGGCUUAACCCCGGUUCUGCUUCCGGUACGGGCAUGCUGGAGUGUGGCAGGGGAGACUGGAAUUCCUGGUGUAGCGGUGGAAUGCGCAGAUAUCAGGAGGAACACCGGUGGCGAAGGCGGGUCACUGGACCACAACUGACGCUGAGGCGCGAAAGCUAGGGGAGCAAACAGG
rnacentral:rRNA from 1 species